AGAGUUUGAUCCUGGCUCAGGAUGAACGCUAGCUACAGGCUUAACACAUGCAAGUCGAGGGGCAGCAUGGACCCAGCUUUGCUGGGUUUGAUGGCGACCGGCGCACGGGUGAGUAACGCGUAUCCAACCUGCCCUUUACUCCGGGAUAGUCUCCUGAAAGGGAGUUUAAUACCGGAUGUGUUUGUCUUUCCGCAUGGGAGCGACAAAUAAAGAUUGAUUGGUAAAGGAUGGGGAUGCGUCCCAUUAGCUUGUUGGCGGGGUAACGGCCCACCAAGGCGACGAUGGGUAGGGGUUCUGAGAGGAAGGUCCCCCACAUUGGAACUGAGACACGGUCCAAACUCCUACGGGAGGCAGCAGUGAGGAAUAUUGGUCAAUGGGCGAGAGCCUGAACCAGCCAAGUAGCGUGAAGGACGACGGCCCUACGGGUUGUAAACUUCUUUUAUAAGGGAAUAAAGUUCGCCACGUGUGGUGUUUUGUAUGUACCUUAUGAAUAAGCAUCGGCUAAUUCCGUGCCAGCAGCCGCGGUAAUACGGAAGAUGCGAGCGUUAUCCGGAUUUAUUGGGUUUAAAGGGAGCGUAGGCGGGCUUUUAAGUCAGCGGUCAAAUGCCACGGCUCAACCGUGGCCAGCCGUUGAAACUGUAAGCCUUGAGUCUGCACAGGGCACAUGGAAUUCGUGGUGUAGCGGUGAAAUGCUUAGAUAUCACGAAGAACUCCGAUCGCGAAGGCAUUGUGCCGGGGCAGCACUGACGCUGAGGCUCGAAAGUGCGGGUAUCAAACAGGAUUAGAUACCCUGGUAGUCCGCACGGUAAACGAUGAAUGCUCGCUAUGGGCGAUAUAUUGUCCGUGGCCAAGCGAAAGCGUUAAGCAUUCCACCUGGGGAGUACGCCGGCAACGGUGAAACUCAAAGGAAUUGACGGGGGC
rnacentral:rRNA from 1 species